UGGCUCAGCGGGUAAGAGCACUGGUUACACUUCCAGAGGACCUGGGUUCAAUUCCCAG
rnacentral:tRNA from 1 species